rnacentral:rRNA from 1 species
GCUUAUUUGACUCACNCGGGGAAACUCACCAGGUCCAGACACAAUAAGGAUUGACAGAUUGAGAGCUCUUUCUUGAUUUUGUGGGUGGUGGUGCAUGGCCGUUCUUAGUUGGUGGAGUGAUUUGUCUGCUUAAUUGCGAUAACGAACGAGACCUUAACCUGCUAAAUAGCCCGGCCCGCUUUGGCGGGUCGCCGGCUUCUUAGAGGGACUAUCGGCUCAAGCCGAUGGAAGUUUGAGGCAAUAACAGGUCUGUGAUGC